rnacentral:rRNA from 1 species
AUACCCUGGUACUCGACGCUUUGUUGGAACCACACCAAAUCCAUCCCGAACUUGGUUGUGAAAAAGCAAAGAAGACAUACAAACUUUGUGGGGGACUACAUGGAAAGUAUAUCUUAGCGCCAGGGUU